GCAAGCAGCCUCCUGUCCCUGCUAUCAAGCCUUCCCACCGUGGUAGACGGAACCCUGAAGCCAUUAGCCACAAUGAACCCUUCCUCUACAAGGCCACAGAAGGGAUGCUUCUGAGCCCAGCCCUCAAGAACCUGUACAGAUCUCCACUUCCAUCUUGUAACCUUACCAUCCUGCGAGUGAUCAGGCCUAGCAAGAGUCCUGGGCAGGAUGAAAGAACACGAGAGUGGAAACUAAGUCAGAAGACAUGUGACACCGUAGAGGCCAAAAUGGUGACAUGAUUUUCAAGUGGAUGAUCCCAAGAGUCAUGAACCCAGAACUGGAAGGGACAGAAGAGCGGACUGUUCUUUGUCAUUAGAGGUCCUGUAGACUUGUCCAUUAAGGAAGGAAACAAACAAAUAAACAAAACAAACCUACAUAUAUGCUUCAUUUUGACAAAGCAGAAAAUUAAGUAGAAAUCAAAAGGAAAACUAACUAAAUGCUCAAACCAUCAUAGGAUGCCAGUGCUCAGCAGUUGACACUGCCAGGAGCAGUCAUGUGGCCAACACAUGCCCCGGGGCCAGAGGAAUUUCCAGCUCAGACGUUGCCACCACUAACCCAGAUUUCCCUUUUGAUUAGUAUUCAGACUUCACGCUUGCAUGCUUGCGGUUAGCGCACAGUGAGGGGAGCUGCAAAGGGGGGGGGGGGUGCAUGGAAACGUUGGACACAGACGGCCAGACCCUGCAGGUGCUCUGCACGUUGGUAGUCUCUGCUACUCAGCAGUCCAGCGAGGACCACAAGCAUCCAAGUCCGUAAUGGAAAGCUGGCCGCACCCAAUCAGGAAUUGGAAAAAGCGGUGAUUUAAAAAUGACUCUGUGUAACAUUAUUGAGUUGGCAUGGAGGAAAAGUGGGGCAAACCAGCAGACUGAAAGUGGGGAGGGACACUGGGGAGAUGAAACAGGCAACACACACAUACGGUGACAGUAAGAGACUGACAGACAGACAGACAGACAGACAGAGAAUGACGAAGACAGAGUCAACUUGACUAUCCUCUAGGCUGAUAAGAUGACUCAGCAGAUAGAGACACCUGCCUCCAAGCUAGAAGACCCAAGUUCAACGCCCACAUCUCACACGGUGGGGAAAGGAAAACAACUCCUCUUGUCCCAUGAUACAAAGCAUGCGUGUAGACAUGCAUGCAGAGUUGAUAAAUAAACCUAAUAAACGUUCAUUAAAUGAGUGCCAUCACUCUCAUUUUCCCAAUACCGUUCGUUCUCUAGGCUUUAAGUUUAAAGGUACUUUCUCUCUGAAAUGAUUAUUUUUUCAGUGAUUACUGGCUUAUAUUUUAGGUUCCCUCUCCCAUCUUAGAUGAGAAAUAAAUUUGGGGCAUGGUACAGAAAACAAAACACAGUGCUGUCUCAUUAGUCAGGAUCGACUAGGGUGUGCCACAGUAGGGAAAACUUGAAAACCUUUGAGACUUCACAUCCCAGGCCUGGGAUGCAGUGGGUCGGCAAAGCACCUUUAAUUAUCCAGGUGCCUCCUGGAGGAUUCAGGCGGCUCUGUGCUGUCAAAGGGGGCUCAAAGGGGCGUGCAUCCCUUCAGUUUUGUACUUCAAUAGUGAAACCUUGUCUAAAUUCAUGAGGGUAUGGAGGUGCUGUCUGACCACAGACCCAGAAAGAAUCUAGUAUAACCUAACUCAGUAGUCUCUCUGUUCUUCAAGCAGAACAUGCUUAGAGUCAUCUUCGCCCCGAGUAAGCUUUUCCUACAGGUUCUACCUCACAAGUUUAUUCGGCUUUAAAGGCACGGGGUGAGCCUGGGUAGAGUGGAGAGGCUGAGAGGUUAUAUGAGGUCCUAAAGUUAUGUAAAGUAGUGUGUGUGGCUUUGGGUUGUUUUUUUUUUCCUUCUGUGGUUGAGCGGCACAGUACAGUAUUUGCAGAGCAAUCCUGGUUUUCCUUAAGUGGUUUCUAUAACGAGGUCAUUUUCAUUCACCAAUCACCAACCAAUUUAUUUCUGCUUACAAGUGGUCUCAUGUGUGCCUGAAUUUUGAAAAUUGUGAGUUUAGGGAAACUCCACCUUCUGGGUGUUGAAGCAGGGGCCCUAGCUGCCCUUGAUAUAAAAUUGGUACAGGUGCACCAAGGAGAGCUUUUUUUUUUUUUUUUUUUUUUUUUUUUUUCCAGAAUCCCAAAUGAGCAGUUGCACCUUAAAUAGGAGAAGGUAAGGAGAGCCUGGCUACAGAUCUGGGAGUUCAAAAAAGUAAGGUUUUUCAGAAAGAUGCAAAUGGGUGGAGAUGGGUAGAAGACAAUUUCCACCUGUUGAGGACUAAAUCCAGAAGUUCUUGGCAAAGGACUUCAGUGACAAGAGUUUCACUCCCCCUUUGCAUGUAGAUACAAACAGAAGAGCAACUUAGAUUUCAUCCAGAGACCCCACACUCUCAUCUACCAACCUCAGCUUCUCAGAGUAGCACAUCCAAGUAUAGUUAUUACACCCUCUCUACAGUCCAAAGAGCCAGAAAGGCUGAACUCCCUGCGACCGUGCCACUAAGGAAAAGCUCAUGCCAAGUGAACCCACUGAAACCAGACACAUUUUCAAAAGCGGAGCAGUUUUUAGGACAUUACUGGGUUAGAGCUAAUGCUGGGUAUUUGUAUGGGCCGAGACCUGAGAAUAGCCUUAGGAAUUUUCCUGGGGCACUGCCACCCUCUUUGAAACAGGAUCUUUCAUUGGCUUAGAACUCACCAAUUAGAGUAGACCAGUUAAGGCCCAGGGAUUGGCCUAUCUCUGCCUCUGCAGUACUGAAGUUGCAAGUGCUGCCACAAGUUCAUGGAUUUUGCUUUGCUCUUUUUGACGUGGUUUCUGGGGCUUGAUUCAGGUCCCCAUACUCCUAAGACAAGCCCUUUACCAAUGUUUGUCUCACCUGUUCUCUUCCAAUUGUUAACUUCGCGAAAUGACACAAAAUACUCAGGCAGAAACAAACGUUGUUGUGAUGAACCACUUACCCAUCGUAUUCUUCAUUUUGAACCCUAGAAUCUUUAUCAUGGAACUUACCAACCAAUCUGGUUUAGAAAUAGCAAAGUCUUUCAUCUAGGACUUGAUGUGGUUUGCCAUGGACAUGGAUUGUGGCUCGUCGGAGCCACAAGCAUGUGUCUCAAACCAUCUGCAGAGGGGAGAACACCUAAAGGUCUCCCUCACUGGCAUGCUAAGGGCACAUCACUACCAGCAUCUGAAAGAGUGUCCGAGCCAGGCUCUUCUGUAUGCUCUUCUCUGUUUCCAUGUUGCUUUUUCCCACACCACAACCGGGAUGCAUCAGACAUCAAGUGCUUUAUAUUUCAAAUGACAGUGUC